UUUUGGAGUACAAUCAAAUCAGUUGCAAAUGAGUUACAACAUCUCAAUUGCUUUAAUAGAUCAAACAAAACUUCACUGUGUACUCCAGGCACCAGAACUGAUCCCCCUCAGUGGAGUUCCCCAGCUCAAAAACAUGCAAAUCUUUGGCCUGCCCAUAGCGAGGUCCUAAGCAAUGCCCUUGAGGGCUUAACCAGGACACGGUACCUUGGAAGAGAGCUCGCUGAGCAUGCGGCUUGCCAGGAUGGUGUAACUAGCAAGCUAGCUGGAACAGGCUCUCUUGCUUCAGGCCAGUGAAUACUUAUGUCAGGCCAGAAGUAAGGAAAAUUGAUUUUACUUACUUUGUACCCUGUGUAUUGCCUGCGGAGAGGAAGCACAUCCCGGUCUCUUCUCCAUCUCCUAAGGGAGAGGGAACGUACACAUGGUUGCAGUCAUGCCUGCUUGGAGUUUCCACCCCCAACGAUUCCUAAGGAAACCUAACAGAAGGUAAAUGAAAGGAGAAGCUCAGGCAACUGGAUCCUUACAGGCUUGCCACUGAAAUUCUCCUAACCCAGGAGAGGUCCGAGGCCCCAUGUUGGUACCUCUACAGAUGACAUGGAAAGACAAGGGUUAUUGGUUUUGGGAAAUGAAAAAUCCCAAUGCUGCUGGGGGAAAGCUGAGUCAGUUUGGCCAGAAUGCUGCUCCUAGAGAUUCUGGCUCAGGAGGGCUAAGGCCCAGCUGGGAAUCUGAUGCAGAAAAUCUAAGGACUACAUUAUCAGAAACCCAACAUUUGUAAAUCCCAAGGCCAGACGUUGGUCCUUGGCACGUUUUGUCACCCUCACUGCCAUCACCACCGCCAUCUGGGGAAUAUUCGUUGUCUAAUGGCCCAGGUUCAACUCACUGCAAAGGUAGCACAUUCCUCAUCAGACCACAUACAUUUCCAGGGCCCCCAGGACAUGCAAGGUACUUGUACGGUGUGUGCCCCUGAAAUAUAGUAGUGAGACUGAGGAACUUAAAAUUUCAUUUUAUUGCUUUCUAACUUAUUUGAGUUUAAAUAUAAAUAGCUACAUGAGUCCAGUAUCUACCAUGUGGCAUAGGACAGAAUUAGAGGCAGGGAAGAAGAACUUGAUCAGCUCCUGGCUUUUGAUCAGAUCACCGUUUCCAAAAUCAACCCCAUUGGAAAAUACCAAGUCUAAUUGCUGAGAGAAUCUGGACAAAUACCUAAGAUAACUUGGAUGAUACGUGAGAAUUGACCGCUUCUCCCACUCCUCCCUGUACACACCAUGGUACUGACCUUGACAAUCACCAACCUGCUUCCACUCAUGGAGCUCUUAUAUUGGAAGGGGUUAUGCUGCCUUUUCCAGUAAUCCUAGGAGAGCAAGGCUGGGACUUUGUACCCUGAGAAUGGGGGAAAUCGAGUGUGAUAAUGAAGCCAACCCUCGGGGCUACUAUAGCUGAUUUAUCUGACUGAUCCCCAGCAACAUGGUACAGCAGGACCUGGGCCCGGAAGCCAGGAAGCCUAAGUUGAAUCUUACCUCUGCCACUUGACAUCUUCUGUAUAACCUUGAGCCAAUUACUGUUCUAAACUUUAGUUUCUUUAUCUGUAGAAUGGUGAUGAUAACAGUAAUUCCAAUUUCAUGAGGCUGCAAAAAGUCAGCAGUCCUCCCACUCUUUAGUUUCCUGACCCCUUUCCACUCUUAAAAAUUAAUGAGGACCCUCCAAAAGGACUUUUUUUGUGAGUUAAAUGUUUAUAUACAGUAUUAGAAAUUAGAAAUAAGAACAUUAAAACAUAUUAACUUAUUUAAAUAUGAAACCAUUACAUGUUAGCGUAACAUAUUGUUGUGGAAAAUUUACCAUAUUUUCCCAAACAAAAGUAAUUAGUGAGAAGCGUGAUGUUGUUUUACAUUUGUGCAGAUCUCUUUCGUGUCUGGCUUGUGGCUAGGUUCUUAUCUCUGCUUCUGCUUUCCAUCUAUGGAAUGGUUAUAUUAUGAUUAUACUAUGUUGUUUUGGUCAAAGUAUAUGAUGAAAAUCUGGCCUCACUCAGGUAUUUAAUUGGAAAAAAAGAAGUAUUUUCAUCGUCUUUUCAGAUAAUUGUGGAUGUUUUUCUUAGCUACAUAAAACUUGAAAAUUGAGUGUUUUUUAAAGAUUAGUUGCAAUGUAGAAUCUGAAACCAUAUCAGUAAACUUUUCAUAUUUUUUACACUGAAAUCUAUUUUUCUACCAUGUACUUUUAAUACAUCUUUUACCUAUGUGUAAUUUUGUAACAUCAUGAAUUAGUCGUUUGAGAAAUAUUGGUUCCUUAAGUUAUUCUGAUUUUCCAAAUGUUAUCAUAUUUUAUUAUAGAAUAUCAAAAUGUCAUAUUGAUAAUAUCACCACCAAUAUCAUCAGAAAAAGAUUUUAAGUAAUAGAAAUCUUCUAGGACAAUAGUGUUUGCAUUCUUCUUGUGGCCCACAGAAUCUUAGGUUUAUCCCAAGAAUAAAACAAGAUGAAGAUGGCAAUUAAUGGCAUCAGGUUUAUUUUUAAAAAAUCCCUCUCUGUUGUCUUUCUAGUAAUUUUGUUACAUCUAGUAUGUUUACAUUUUGAAAAACCUUAUGGGAAGAAUGUCUGUUGUUUUUUUUUUUAAAGAGUUAUUUAUUUGAGAGAGAGGGAGUAGGGGUGGAGGGGACAGAGGGAGAGGGAGAGAAAGUUUUAAGCAGAUGCCGCACUGAGUGUGAAGCCCCAUGUGGGGCUCGAUCUCAUGACCCUGAGAUCAUGACCUGAGCCUAAAACCAAGGGUCAGAUGCUUAACCAACUGCAUCACCCAGGCACCCCAAGAAUGUCUAUUCUUUAUUCAGUAACACAGGAAAUUGAUUAUGUACUUCUGUAUUUUCUAUAGAGAUGAAGGACUCAUGAAGAAUAAUCAGGUUUAUUAUAGAGCAUAUCUUGACACAUAGAAUUAUUUUGACUUCCAUGUAGAAAAAGAAGUAGGAUGAUUUGUUUAGGAGCUAGGUAGGUACUGAUGCCCAAAUCUUUAGGCUAAUUUGGGGAUUAUUCAAUUUAUUUAACAACUGCAUAACCAAUCACCUCAGAACUAAGUGACUUAGUACAAGAAAAGCAUUUCUCAUUUCUUGCGUUUUCUGUAGGUCAGGAAUUUAGGAAUUGCGUAACUGGGCAGUUCGGCUAGGGGGCUGCGUAAGGUUUCAGUCAGAUGCCGGCUCUCAGCAGGAAGUCCCAGUUACUCACCAUGCAGAUGUCUCCAUAGGGCUCCUUGAGUGUCUUAAUGCAUGGUGAUGGCUGGCUUUGCCCAGGGCAGGAGACCCAAAAGAGGGCAAGGUAGAAGCCACAUGUCUCUUAGGACAUAGCCUCCAAAGUCACACAUGUCAUUUCUGCAAUAUCCUGUUGGUUAUCCACAUCAGCCCUUUUUAAUGCAGAAGAGACUCCACAGGGGUGUGAAUAUGGGGAGGAGAGAAUUGCUGGGGACCAUUUUGGAGGCUGCCUACCACAGAUGCCUGUUUUAGGUACAGGGUUGCCUUUUCUACCUGCAGAGCCUUUAUCUAGGCUCCAUUCCCCAGGAGCUUACAGAAUACCUACUCAAGGGUGUGGAAACCCACACAACUUAGUGUCAGACCAGGAGACCCGUUUCACAGUGAGGGAGGUGUGGGAGUGGGGCCAUGAUAAUGGGCUCCAUGUUUGUAUCACAUACUGCACCAUCCAGAAGCAGCUGGUAUCUUAGGUGGCACAGCCUUCUAACAGUGCAGCAGGUGCUCCAGCUCAGAGCUAAUACUUUGUGAUGAUGGGCUAUCAUUCUUCAGCCUAUAGUAGAUAUAUUAACUCAUAGGUCUCUAUACGACGCCAUGUCACCCACAGGAAGAAGAAAUAGGUCUGGGAAUCAAGUGGUGGAGGCAAGAAUGGUCUCACUGGUGGAAUUUAUGUUUCUUGUCCCUUUAAGUCUACUUCUGUAGAGUUGAAGGUCUUGAUCCCCCGAGUAGGAACACUUUUGCCAGGGCGCACAGCAGGGUGCCCAUUGAGCUACAAGUUACAGUGGUGUCCAGGUUCUGGUAGGCAAGAAGAGAGUCAUCAUACUGACAAUGGUAAUUUACUGUUAGUCUGGGUCCUCUGAAAAGCAGACACUAAGGCAGGAUUAAACACGUAGGGAUUUUAUUGGAGCAAAAGCCAAGGAAAGAAAAUGAGUCAUGUGAGGCUGGGAGAGUGGUCAGACUGCGAGGCAAGUCUCGUCCUGAAUGAAGUGGAGAGGGAGCAAACGUUGGGUGGAAGGGCCCUAGACUGCUGUGCUAUCUUCAGAAGUCUCAACAAGGUCACUGGGAGCCCUUGACCCAAAGUCAGCCACCAGCAGAGUCCCGUGUCUCCCAGGAAGGGCCACCAUAGUAUCCCUGCCAUGCCCGGUCACUGGCCAGGAGCAGCUGGUGGGAAGGGCAGCCUUAAAUUUCAGAGCCAGCAGCUGGGGCCCUUGGUCAGUUACACUCCCUGGAGUCAGAGUCCUGGGUGCAUUCUCUUGGCUGCCACACUGAUCCUGACUUGCAGGAGGCAUUAGGACUGCUUUUAUACAAGAAGGAAAUGAGGAAUACGUGUGCAACCUCCCGGUACUUCCUUGCCUCAUUAGAGCUGUGAAUAUAUGAAUAUGUAUAUAUAUUUAUCUGCAUAGGAUUAUAAGACUAGGAAGAAAAAUAUGGAAGGAUACAAAUUAACUUGUAAACAUGGUAUGGAAGAUAAUGUUGCCUUGUUGAUGGAAGCCCAUCCCAAUCCCCUUUUCCAUAGCCACUUUUCAGUCAGAGAUGGAUAUACGGUCAGGCUUAAGAGAUGUAAGUACAAUUCUACUGGUCGUCAUGUCUCCCUUCCCCCUGCUUCCUGACCAGGAUGUGUGCUUGAUGCAUGAAGCUGUAGGAGCCAUUUUAAGACCAUGAAAGAAAGGCCAAAGAAGGACCAGCAGUGGAAUAUCUCUAGAACUCAUUGAGAAAAAAAGCUAGAUACCUUUUGUUUUACUCACAGUAAAUGUGUAUUCUAACAUAUAGGGUAUUUUUUGGUUAUGUGAAUUCAUGUGGUGAAGUGGUAGGUCAAGACUUAGAUACUUAGAUAAGCAAAUAUAAGAUCACAUAAAAAAUCAUGUAUAUGAUCACAUGUCAUCAUUUACAUGCAUAGGUCUGCAAAUAUGUUUUGAUAGAUGUAAAAACCAAUAAAAUGAUUAAAUAUCAAGACAGUAAUAUUGUCCAUUUAAUCUACUUUUAAACUUUAUUGUCAUAUUAUUUAUAUAUUUAAAAUUCAUUUUUUUAGUUAUGCCUUAAAAAUUUGUAAUGUUGUAUAUAUUUUUUCUGUGCCAGAUGUUGAUUUUACUCACCUGAAAAAAAAAAAAAACUUAGAUUCUGUAGACGUUCUUUAUUAUUUAUUUUCUAAUUCAUUAAAUCCUUACCUUUGUCAUUCCUUUCCUUCUACUUUCUUUGGGAUACUCUGUUCAUUUUCUAACUCUUUGAGUUGAAUGCUCAAUAUUAAUUUUUAGCUUUUUUUUUUUUUUUGGAAUGUAAUAAAUCCUGGCCCAAACAUGAAUUUUGGUCUAAUGCAGUUGGUGAUGGACUCCCAUUUUCUGCCCAGCCCCUGUUCUUCAUCAGGAGGUUGGAUUAAAGUUCUCGUCCUCUGUGGAGGUGGGAGAAUGCUGGGCAAAGGGGAAAUGGCAGGCAGUGGACACAGGAGGUGGGUCCCCAACCCGCUACUCCACCCAGAAGUCUCCUAGACAAUACUUAAGUCCCAGGAGACAAUCACCACCAGGUGGAGCCCAACCUCAAUGGGGACCUGAAUGAUUUUAGAAUGUGGUCAGUAAGUGGAUCUCUAGAUCUCCUUGCCCAUAGGCUUCUCUUUCUUUUCU